UUUAAUGAACUUAACUUUGCUUAAGUCACAGGUUAUCCUAGCGAUCUGUGGGAAGGUGGCACUUCAUAUGGCUGUACAAGAAGCAUGGCACAUGCACCUGCUUCGGGAAGGACUUCAGGAAACGUCCACUCAAGGCAGAAGGUAAAGGGGGUCAGGUAUCUCAUGAUGAGAAAGAAAGAAAGCAAGAGAGAGGGGAGGAGAGGAUAAUUUAUUUUUAGCAACCAGUUAUCUUAGGAACUAAGAACUCAUUCACUCCCACAAGGACAAGGAUGGCACCAAGUUGUUCAUGAAGAAUCCAGCCCCUUGAUCCAAACAGCCCCAACCAGGCCCCACCUCUAACACUGGGGAUCAACUUUUAACAUGAUAUUUGCAGAGCAUAAACAUCCAAACUAUAUCAAACAGCCAUUAGGAUCUCCAUCUACUUAAUAAGAGCAAUGAUGAUCAGUAAGUGGGUCCAUUCAGUAACCAUCCAGACUGAAUAUACCAAUUUUACAUUGCUUUAUAACAUAAUAAUUUAUUUGGUUCACUAUGUUUUACCUGCAAAAAUUUUAAUGUUAACCUAAGCAUGCUUACCACAAAUAUUUUGUCAUGCCAACUAUAUUUCCACAUAUUAAUACUUCUUAGCCACAAUCUCUGGCUGUUUCUCCAAUAGAUGAAUGUCUUUUGGGGCUGAUUUUCUGGUUACAUUAGCAAUAGCUCUUUGUGUAGAAGAAAUCACAGAAAAUUAACUGUAAGUUCUUUUGGUUGUUCACCAUAACAGCUACUCUCAUAACAACUACUAACCAAUAUUUUAUUGUAUCAUUUUUGUAAAUCUGUCUGUUUUCUAAUUAUGUCUUUACUAUUUGGAAAAUGACCAUCUUACACGCAUCUGCCAGCCCUGCAUUUUUUAUUAGCAAUGGAGGAGGAUAAUUCUGAUGCCUUAUGUAAGCAUUUGGUAUGUUCAUCAUAUGAAGUAAGUUUCAGUGUUUGACUUGGUACCUGUAGACUAGAGAUCAUAACACCUGUUGCUCUCUUAUGCAGAACCAAAAUUUCCUUUUACUGAAAGCAUCCAAAGCUCAGAUUCCAUCUUAGUUUUUGGUUAUGGGGAAAGAAGAAUGGAGAAAAAUAAGAAAAUUCAGUCUUAUCAAUUAGUGGUGGUAAACCAACCAGAAUUAGGUACAUUUUUGUCUUUAAAUUUGUUUCAAAAUUCCAGAUGUGCUAUUUGAUUUUCUUUGCCUCAUUCUAUAUCAUCCCCUGAUGCCUUUGGUGUUGGCCUACCUCUUAAACUUAUUUUUAUAUUGAUAGUUAAUAAAAGGUGAAUUGUCUUCCAUUGAAAUGGUUCCUGGGAUAGCUUAUUUCUGUUUCCACUUUCAUUCUUUAUAAAUCAGGAUGUGCUGACCCAGCUUUGCCUUCUAUGCCAUCUGAUCUCAACCCAUGCUCUUUGUCUUCACACUUCUGAAUAGUCAUUGGCAAUCAAAAAAAUACUAUUCUACUAUAUGGCACAUAUAGAC
rnacentral:lncRNA from 1 species